rnacentral:snRNA from 1 species
AUCGCUCUCGCCUUUGACUAAGAUCAAGUGUAGUAUCUGUUCUUAUCAGUUAAUAUCUGAUACGUCCUCUAUCCGAGAACAAUAUAUUAAAUGUAUUUUUGUAGCAGAGAGAUAGAAUAGGAGCUUGCUCCGUCCACUCCACACAUCGACCUGGUAUUGCAGUACUUCCAGGAAUGGUGCACCAAAA